AACGAACGCUGGCGGCAUGCCUAACACAUGCAAGUCGAACGAGACCUUCGGGUCUAGUGGCGCACGGGUGCGUAACGCGUGGGAACCUGCCCUUAGGUUCGGAAUAACUCCCCGAAAGGGGUGCUAAUACCGGAUAAUGUCUUCGGACCAAAGAUUUAUCGCCUUUGGAUGGGCCCGCGUUGGAUUAGCUAGUUGGUAGGGUAAAAGCCUACCAAGGCGACGAUCCAUAGCUGGUCUGAGAGGAUGAUCAGCCACACUGGGACUGAGACACGGCCCAGACUCCUACGGGAGGCAGCAGUGGGGAAUAUUGGACAAGGGGCGAAAGCCUGAUCCAGCAAGGCCGCGUGAGUGAUGAAGGCCUUAGGGUUGUAAAGCUCUUUUACCCGGGAUGAUAAUGACAGUACCGGGAGAAUAAGCUCCGGCUAACUCCGUG
rnacentral:rRNA from 1 species